rnacentral:rRNA from 1 species
GACGAACGCUGGCGACGUGCCUAAUACAUGCAAGUCGAGCGCAGGAAACUGACGGAACUCUUCGGAGGGAAGGCAGUGGAAUGAGCGGCGGACGGGUGAGUAACACGUAAGGACCCUGCCUCAAGGAUUGGGAUAACUCCGAGAAAUCGGAGCUAAUACCGGAUAGUUCAACGGACAGCAUGGUGCGCUGAUGAAAGGCGCUCCGGCGUCACUUCGAGAUGGCCUUGCGGUGCAUUAGCUAGUUGGUGGGGUAACGGCCCACCAAGGCGACGAUGCAUAGCCGACCUGAGAGGGUGGUCGGGCACACUGGGACUGAGACACGGCCCAGACUCCUACGGGAGGCAGCAGUAGGGAAUCUUCCACAAUGGACGAAAGUCUGAUGGAGCAACGCCGCGUGAGUGAUGAAGGUUUUCGGAUCGUAAAACUCUGUUGUAAGGGAAGAACACGUACGAGAGGGAAUGCUCGUACCUUGACGGUACCUUACGAGAAAGCCACGGCUAACUACGUGCCAGCCGCCGCCGUAAUAC